rnacentral:misc_RNA from 1 species
CGCACAUUGCGCCCGCCAGUAUUCUGGCGGGCAUGCCUGUUCGAGCGUCAUUUCAACCCUCAAGCUCAGCUUGGUGUUGGGAUUCGUGUGGUAACACACGGUCCCCAAAUUGAUUGGCGGUCACGUCGAGCUUCCAUAGCGUAGUAAUUUAUUCUCGUUAGUGGUAAUCGUCGCGGCCAUGCCGUUAAACCCCAACUUCUGAAUGUUGACCUCGGAUCAGGUAGGAAUACCCGCUGAACUUAA